UCCGGGGUGACUCCUGGGAGCGGCUGCCGUGACAACAGAAUUCUUUGCUUCAUUGUGACAUGACUUCUAACAGGAACAGGACAGGAUCAUCUUUGUUUUCAAUUGCACUGUCUCUUGCUGGAAUGGUAAUUGGAUCUUACAGUUAGGAGGACUCUAAGCUGUGAAUUUUGAGCAUGCUGUGUUAUCCGUGUUGUGGCCUGACUUCAGUUUCUAAGGAAUUGAAAUAAUGCUGCUGCAUUUCUGGGGUUUGGUAAGUAUGGUAAUUAUACUUUGAAACUGUGGAACUGACUAUCCUGGAAACACUAAGAAGUGGAAUCACUCAUUUCCCUGUUUCCAUGUUCAUUGUACUUUUCCCAUAUGUGAUAAUAGGUGGUUGUAGAUUGUAAAGUAUAGCUGAAUAUUUCUACAUGUGCAAGGCAAAACACUUAAAAAUGUGGUCAAGAAGGUCUUAUUUAAAAUUAUUCCAGUUUUAAAAAGUAACUUAGCUCCAGAUAGGACAUGAAUCAUAUUUGCUUUUCCUUCAGGAGGAGAAACCUUAGACUGAUCAGAUUCUUUCCUUCAGCCGUUGUUACUUGGUAGGAGAGAUGCAUAUAAUCCAAAGAUUUAUAAAAUAGCUAACUUAUGGAAAAUGUGCUCCUAUUAAUAUAAAUUGUAAUUAUUCAAAGAGCAAUGCCCUUACAUUGAGAAGUACUAAAGUUAAAGAGAUAAAGUGCAGGAGCUCUUAGUGCAGAACUUUAACUGAAUAACAAACAAAAACUGAAAUAAUCGCAAAGGAAAUGCUAAAAAGACUUCAA